ACGAUGAUAACUUAAAUCGAGAUAAUAAGGAUUAGGAUUAAGGGUGGUCCGUAUACCUUUCCGAAGUGCAAUCAGAAGAGACAAGUCCGCAGUAAGAGCAGGGUCAGGUGCAGGACGUGAAUCAACCGGGCCAGAUUCUGGGCGAGGACGACGAUGAUAUGUCAAGAGUGGAAUUUCUGUGGCAGAGAGUCUAGGAGGAGCUACACUAGACUCUCCAACGGUUGGAUUGAGUAAGACUUCUGUAGCGGAAGGUGAACGAGGAGCUAUAGUAGACUCGGGUGAGACUUCUGUGGCGGAAGGUGAAGGAGGAGCUAU
rnacentral:lncRNA from 1 species